GUAAAAUUUGGAUUCCACUCGUAAAGUGGACGCCGGCGAGCCAGGCUAACUAGCUUCCACUGAAGAACUAUGAGACUGCAUCAAGGCCAAAGAGAUCGAUGCCCCUCUGUUCUUCAGAAAGUGAGGAGAAAAAAGAGUUUUACAUCACCACUUCUGCGGCUGUCUUCACCCCGCUCCUUGGCUCUUAUAAACCCUCACGUUGUCUGUGUGUCACUUUCAAAACUAAUGAUGAUAUAAUGACGAAGAUAAGGCUUGUGAAACAAAAACCCCUGGGAAAGCAGAGCCGCGGAGACAUUUCUGUUACUUUUGCUGCCCGAUUAACAUCGUGCCAAAAUUUCUUUCGCUACAUCAACAUUGCAGCUAUGGAUGGAUUACUGAACGGG